rnacentral:rRNA from 2 species
UCUGGUGUACCAGUUGUCGUGCCAACGGCAUAGCUGGGUAGCUAUGUGUGGACGGGAUAAGUGCUGAAAGCAUCUAAGCAUGAAGCCCCCCUCAAGAUGAGAUUUCCCAACUUCGGUUAUAAGAUCCCUCAAAGAUGAUGAGGUUAAUAGGUUCGAGGUGGAAGCAUGGUGACAUGUGGAGCUGACGAAUACUAAUCGAUCGAAGACUUAAUCAAAA